GGAGAGGUGGCCGAGUGGAUGAAGGCGACGGUUUGCUAAACCGUUGUACGGGGUCAAACCUGUACCCCGGGUUCGAAUCCCGGCCUCUCCG
rnacentral:tRNA from 1 species